rnacentral:rRNA from 1 species
UGUCGUCAGCUCGUGUCGUGAGAUGUUGGGUUAAGUCCCGCAACGAGCGCAACCCUUGUUCUGUGUUGCCAGCAUGCCCUUCGGGGUGAUGGGGACUCACAGGAGACUGCCGGGGUCAACUCGGAGGAAGGUGGGGACGACGUCAAGUCAUCAUGCCCCUUAUGUCUUGGGCUGCACACGUGCUACAAUGGCCGGUACAAUGAGCUGCGAUGCCGUGAGGCGGAGCGAAUCUCAAAAAGCCGGUCUCAGUUCGGAUUGGGGUCUGCAACUCGACCCCAUGAAGUCGGAGUUGCUAGUAAUCGCAGAUCAGCAUUGCUGCGGUGAAUACGUUCCCGGGCCUUGUACACACCGCCCGUCACGUCACGAAAGUCGGUAACACCCGAAGCCGGUGGCCCAACCCCUUACGGGGAGGGAGCUGUCGAAGGUGGGACUGGCGAUUGGGACGAAGUCGUAACAAGGUAGCCGUACCGGAAGGUGCGGCUGGAUCACCUCCUUUCU